UACGUAGGGGGGCGAGCGUUGUCCGAAGUUACUGGGCGUAAAGCGCGCGUAGGCGGCUUUUUUAAGUCUGGUGUGAAAGGUUCAGGGCUCAACCCGAACAGUGCACUGGAUACUGGAGAGCUUGAGUUAGGGAGAGGAGAGUGGAAUUUCCGGUGUAGCGGUGAAAUGCGUAGAUAUCGGAAGGAACACCAGUGGCGAAAGCGGCUUCCUGGUCCAGCACCGACGUUCAGGCACGAAAGCGUGGGGAGCAAACAGG
rnacentral:rRNA from 1 species